AGUGAACGCUGGCGGUAGGCCUAACGCAUGCCAGUCGAACGGCAGCACAGUAAGAGCUUGCUCUUACGGGUGGCGAGUGGCGGACGGGUGAGGAAUACAUCGGAAUCUACUUUUUCGUGGGGGAUAGCGUAGGGAAACUUACGCUAAUACCGCAUACGACCUACGGGUGAAAGCAGGGGAUCUUCGGACCUUGCGCGAUUGAAUGAGCCGAUGUCGGAUUAGCUAGUUGGCGGGGUAAAGGCCCACCAAGGCGACGAUCCGUAGCUGGUCUGAGAGGAUGAUCAGCCACACUGGAACUGAGACACGGUCCAGACUCCUACGGGAGGCAGCAGUGGGGAAUAUUGGACAAUGGGCGCAAGCCUGAUCCAGCCAUACCGCGUGGGUGAAGAAGGCCUUCGGGUUGUAAAGCCCUUUUGUUGGGAAAGAAAAGCAGCAGGUUAAUACCCCGCUGUUCUGACGGUACCCAAAGAAUAAGCACCGGCUAACUUCGUG
rnacentral:rRNA from 1 species